CCAAUAGCGUAUAUUAAAGUUGUUGCAGUUAAAAAGCUCGUAGUUGAAUUUCGGGGUUAGUAGGCUGGUCAUGCCUCUGGUAUGUACUGGUCUCACUGAUUCCUCCUUCCUGAUGAACCGUAAUGCCAUUAAUUUGGUGUUGCGGGGAAUUUGGACUGUUACUUUGAAAAAAUUAGAGUGUUUAAAGCAAGCUAACGCUUGAAUACAUUAGCAUGGAAUAAUGAAAUAGGACGUUCGAUCCUAUUUUGUUGGUUUCUAGGAUUGACGUAAUGAUUAAUAGGGAUAGUUGGGGGCAUUAGUAUUCAAUUGUCAGAGGUGAAAUUCUUGGAUUUAUUGAAGACUAACUACUGCGAAAGCAUUUGCCAAGGAUGUUUUCAUUAAUCAAGAACGAAAGUUAGGGGAUCGAAGACGAUCAGAUACCGUCGUAGUCUUAACCAUAAACUAUGCCGACUAGGGAUCGGAUGAUGUUGAUUUUUUAAUGACUCAUUCGGCACCUUACG
rnacentral:rRNA from 1 species